ACUGCUCAGUAACACGUAGUCAACAUGCCCAGGGGACGUGGAUAACCCCGGGAAACUGAGGAUAAACCGCGAUAGGUCAUAGUAUCUGGAAUGAUUUAUGGCUUAAAUCUAUAUGGCCUCUGGAUUGGACUGCGGCCGAUCAGGCUGUUGGUGAGGUAAUGGCCCACCAAACCUAAAACCGGUACGGGCUCUGAGAGGAGAAGCCCGGAGAUGGGCACUGAGACAAGGGCCCAGGCCCUAUGGGGCGCAGCAGGCGCGAAAACCCUGCAAUAAGCGAAAGCUUGACAGGGUUAUUCUGAGUGAUUUCCGCUAAGGAAAUCUUUUGGCACCUCUAAAAAUGGUGCAGAAUAAGGGGUGGGCAAGCCUGGUGUCAGCCGCCGCGGUAAUACCAGCACCCCGAGUGGUCGGGACGAUUAUUGGGCCUAAAGCAUCCGUAGCCGGUUCUACAAGUCUUCCGUUAAAUCCACCUGCUCAACAGAUGGGCUGCGGAGGAUACUAUAGAGCUAGGAGGCGGGAGAGGCAAGCGGUACUCAGUGGGUAGGGGUAAAAUCCGUUGAUCCAUUGAAGACCACCAGUGGCGAAGGCGGCUUGCCAGAACGCACUCGACGGUGAGGGAUGAAAGCUGGGGGAGCAAACCGGAUUAGAUACCCGGGUAGUCCCAGCUGUAAACGAUGCAGACUCGGUGAUGAAUAGGCUUCGUGCCUAUUCAGUGCCGCAGGGAAGCCGUUAAGUCUGCCGCCUGGGGAGUACGGUCGCAAGACUGAAACUUAAAGGAAUUGGCGGGGGAGCA
rnacentral:rRNA from 1 species